AUGGAUAAAUCCGGGAAUUCUGUGGUUUGGGUGAAAUGGGAUAAAUCCGGGAAUUCCGUGGUUUGGGUGAAAUGGGAUAAAUCCGGGAAUUCCAUGGAUUGGGUGAAAUGGGAUAAAUUCGGGAAUUCUGGCGGGGUUUGGGUGAAAUGGGAUAAAUUUGGGAAUUCUGGCGGGGUUUGGGUGAAAUGGGAUAAAUUUGGGAAUUCCGUGGUUUGGGUGAAAUGGGAUAAAUUUGGGAAUUCUGGCGGGGUUUGGGUGAAAUGGGAUAAAACCCCCCUUCUGAACCCCAAAAAUAACCCCUGGAACCCCCUUAACCCCCUCUGACUCUGCCAAACAUGUUGAAAUCUCUUUUGAACCCCCAAAAAAACCUCUGAACACCAUUCAAUCCCUCCCUGAACUCCUAAAAACCCCCAAAUGCCUCUCUGAACCCCCUUUUUAACCCCUUACACCCCUCCUCUGAGCCCCCCCAAACAACUUGGAACCCAUUUAAGGCCCCUGAAUCCCCUUUUAAACCCCCUUAAAUCUUCUGAACUCACUUAAAUCCCCUUUUGAGCAUCUAAAAAAGCCCUUUAAACCAACUUAAACCCCACCUGAGCCCCUUUAGACUCCUCUGAACUCACCUAAAGCUUUUUAAACCCCCCUUAAACCUCUUUUCAAAAGCCUAAAAAAUCCCUUUGACACCCUUAAACCCUGUUGAACUCCCUUGAAUCCCCUCUUAAAGCCCCUUAAACUCCUCUGAACGCCCUUGAUCUCCCAAAAAGACCCUUAAAAACCUUUAUAAACCCCUUUAGAUCCAGCUGAACCCCUUCUAGCCCCCUUAAACCCCCUUAAAACCCACAAAAACCCCCUCUGAACCCCAAAACACCCCACAACCCUUAAAAACCCCACUUUGAACCUCCCUGAAUCCCCCAAAAAACCCUCUGAGCCCCCUUAAACCUGUCUGAAUGACUAAAACCCACAAAAAAACCCCUCUUAAACCCAAAACACCCCGUAACCCCUAAAAACCCCACUUUGAACUUCCCUGAAUCCCCCAAAAACCCCUCUGAGCCCCCUUAAACCUGUCUGAAUGACUAAAACCCACAAAAACCCCCUCUGAACCCCAAAACACCCCAUAACCCCUAAAAACCCCACUUUGAACCUCCCUGAAUCCCCCAAAAACCCCUCUGAGCCCCCUUAAACCCCUUUUUAAAACUCUCCUGAACCCCUAAACCCCAUAAAAACCCCUCUGAACCCUUUUCAACUCAAAAAACUCCCUCAACGCCCCCAAAACCACUAAAAAUCCCACUUUGAGCCCGCUUAAACUGCCCCCCACCAGAGGACAGGUGACCCCCAGGAGCACCAGGGGACUCUCAACCCCCAAAAGUGGAGGGGGUCAGACCCCAGUGUGGGAAAACUGUGGGAAAAGCCAAUGGUGAAAUCAAAAAUUCAGGAAAAUAACGGGGUGGCAGCAGCUGGAUUGGGGGAUUUGGGUCCCUGCGACGCCGGGGUCUGGGAGCAUCCAGGUGAGCAGGUCCUGAAGGCACAGACCAGGACAGGUGAGCAGCUCCAGGGGCUCAGAUCCCACCAGGUGAGCAGCUCCAGGUGAGCAGAUCCCACAGUCUGCAGGGUCCAGGUGAGCAGAAUGCAGAUUUGGGGCACAGACCCCACCCCACAUCCCGAUUUUCCCCCACUCCUGCCUCUUCUCAGGCUGGAAUUGCUCUUGGUCCUGGUUGGUCUCACCUGGCUGAAGCCAAAAAAAAGAGGGAAAAGCCCCAAAAAUGAGAAGUUUCAUCCCAAGACAGAUCCCAGAGCCACAGGAAGGUCCGGAGCACAGGUGGGUUUUCCAUGAAUCCCAGUCCAAGGAAGGGCUGCAGGGCCCAGGUGAGUCUGGAGAAGCUGAAUCCAUCCCAGUCUGACCAGUUUGAUGCCAGUGGAGAUGAAGGAGCACAGGUGAGCAGGAAGCACCUGAGGAGCAGCACAGGGAGUUGCAGGUGCUCCAGGAAGUUCACCAGGAACAGCAAAUCCACGGGGGACACCAGGAGCCAGACACCUGAGCACACCUGAGCACACCUGAGGGAUCCUGCUGGCAUGGUGGGAUGGAUCCUGAGGGCUGGAACGGCAGGAACAGGUUCUUUGGGAAACACAGCCAGGUGAGGCUCACCUGGCAUGGGCAAGGAGGCAGCUGGAUGCCCAGAGCCCACCUGAGGUGGGUCAGGAUCACAGGUAGGGGACAGGGACACUCCUGCACCCUCACAUCCCAAAUCCUGGUCCUUGGAGGGGCAGCUGCUGGAGGCACCUCCCAUGAACAUCUCAGGAGGUUCCUGCAGGUACCAGGAUCAGUUCAGGUGAUGGAGGAGCCAGCCAUGAACAUCUCAGGAGGUUCCUGCAGGUACCAGGAUCAGUUCAGGUGAUGGAGGAGCCAGUGAGGAAGUUGGUUCAACCCCCAAAAUUUUCCAGGUGAGUUUGGGGACUCUUGGCUCUCUUGUGCCAGUUCCAGGUGUUUCCAAAUCCAUCCCAGCUGCAGGUGAGUGGGAGCAUGGUCUGGAUGAGGUGGGACGGGAGGCCCAGGUGAAACAUUCAUUAAACAAACAGGAAUUAGGGAAAAAAGGGCUUUUCCCUUAAAAACAAGGAAAGUGGAGGCAGCCAUGGGAUCCAGGACGCUCCAGCUCAGGUGAGUCCUGGCACAGGUAAUCUCUGCCAGGUGGGAUGGAGAACAGGAGGGAUCUGAGAGGCUGCAGCUCAGCUGAGUCCUGGCACAGGUGACCCCAACCAGGUGAGUGAAGGACUCCUGGCCCUGGGCCAGGGACACCCUCUGUCCAGAGCCACCCCCACCAAUUAAAUAAUCAAUCCAUGGAAUAAAUAAUGGA
rnacentral:lncRNA from 1 species